rnacentral:rRNA from 1 species
UACGUAGGGUGCAAGCGUUGUCCGGAAUUAUUGGGCGUAAAGAGCUCGUAGGCGGUCUGUCGCGUCGGCUGUGAAAUCCCGAGGCUCAACCUCGGGUCUGCAGUCGAUACGGGCAAACUGGAGUGUUGCAGGGGAGACUGGAAUUCCUGGUGUAGCGGUGAAAUGCGCAGAUAUCUGGAGGAACACCGGUGGCGAAGGCGGGUCUCUGGGCAACAACUGACGCUGAGGAGCGAAAGCGUGGGGAGCGAACAGG